UGGGGAAUUUUGGACAAUGGGCGCAAGCCUGAUCCAGCCAUGCCGCGUGCGGGAAGAAGGCCUUCGGGUUGUAAACCGCUUUGUCAGGGAAGAAAUCUUCUGAGUUAAUACCUCGGGAGGAUGACGGUACCUGAAGAAUAAGCACCGGCUAACUACGUGCCAGCAGCCGCGGUAAUACGUAGGGUGCAAGCGUUAAUCGGAAUUACUGGGCGUAAAGCGUGCGCAGGCGGUUUUGUAAGACAGAGGUGAAAUCCCCGGGCUCAACCUGGGAACUGCCUUUGUGACUGCAAGGCUUGAGUGCGGCAGAGGGGGAUGGAAUUCCGCGUGUAGCAGUGAAAUGCGUAGAUAUGCGGAGGAACACCGAUGGCGAAGGCAAUCCCCUGGGCCUGCACUGACGCUCAUGCACGAAAGCGUGGGGAGCAAACAGGAUUAGAUAGCCCUGGUAGUCCACGCCCUAAAACGAUGUCAACUGGUUGUUGGGAAGGUUCCUUCUCGGUAACGUAGCUAACGCGUGAAGUUGACCGCCU
rnacentral:rRNA from 1 species